GGCCAGAUAGCUCAGUUGGUAGAGCACAGCACUGAAAAUGCUGGUGUCCUCGGUUCGAUUCCGAGUCUGGCCACCA
rnacentral:tRNA from 2 species